CGGCGCCGGGACUUCCUCCCACGUGCGCGCCGUCCACGGGAAGUGCAUGCGUGCAAACACACACGCACUCACGCGCAUCGACUCCUCCAGCCCAUUGCCAUCAACAACCCCAGUUCAUUUUACCAAACACAAUUUUUGUUUGAAGAAACCCAACACGGCGGUAUGUUCUGAAGUCGUGGUAUCGUCAUCAUCUCAAUUUUUCAAUGCAAAUCUCUAGAAGGCACUUUCUACAAAUCUUCCAACAGGUCCAGAGUCAUGACAUUUAAAGCCAUCGCUCAGCUAUUUAUCCUGGGCUGUCCUCGGGGCCUUGGUUUUUUUAUGGUUGAAGAAGUUGGGGAGACAAUCAGAUCAGUCGUUGCCUACGCAUUCAGCAUCAUCAAUGUCCUGCAGGGGGGUUUUCUCUUUGUGAUACACUGUCUCCUUAAUCGCCAGGUGCGAAUGGAAUACAGGAAAUGGUUUACUGGAAUGAGGAAAGGGGUUGAAAUUGAAAGCACUGAAGUG